rnacentral:lncRNA from 1 species
UGGGCACACAUUUCUGCAGGAGUGCCUGUACUACUGCCUUGAGAAACUUUCCUUUGACAUAGCUGUUGCUAAGCCAAGGAAUCGGAAGAGGCAAGCAGGUCACCUUUACCCCCAAAAUUGCCCCUCACUUCUAGGAAAGCAGACAAAGUGCUAAAACAGAAAUCACUUAGAAUUAUCUCUCAUCACUUCUUAUACAACAAGUCUAAAC